rnacentral:rRNA from 1 species
UACGUAGGGUGCGAGCGUUAAUCGGAAUUACUGGGCGUAAAGUGUGCGCAGGCGGCCGAGCAAGUCGAGUGUGAAAGCCCCGAGCUUAACUUGGGAACUGCGCUCGAAACUACUUGGCUAGAGUGUGGCAGAGGGAGGUGGAAUUCCACGUGUAGCGGUGAAAUGCGUAGAGAUGUGGAGGAACACCGAUGGCGAAGGCGGCCCCCUGGACCGGUACUGACGCUGAUGCGCGAAAGCGUGGGUAGCAAACGGG